CCCUUGUUAGUAUAGUGGUGAGUAUUCCUGCCUAUCUUGUGGGAGACUGGGGUUCAAAUCCCUGACAGGGAG
rnacentral:tRNA from 1 species